rnacentral:rRNA from 1 species
GAUGAACGCUGGCGGCGUGCCUAACACAUGCAAGUCGAACGGAGCUGUCGGAGCUUGCUUUGACAGCUUAGUGGCGAACGGGUGAGUAACGCGUGAGCAACCUGCCCUUGAGAGGGGGAUAACAUCGGGAAACCGAUGCUAAUACCGCAUAAAAUAUGCAGAUGGCAUCAUUGGCAUAUCAAAGGAGAAAUCCGCUCAAGGAUGGGCUCGCGUCUGAUUAGAUAGUUGGUGAGGUAACGGCCCACCAAGUCGACGAUCAGUAGCCGGACUGAGAGGUUGACCGGCCACAUUGGGACUGAGACACGGCCCAGACUCCUACGGGAGGCAGCAGUGGGGAAUAUUGGGCAAUGGGGGGAACCCUGACCCAGCAACGCCGCGUGAAGGAAGAAGGCCUCGGUUGUAACGUUACUUGUACAGGGAAGGAAGGAAGUAGACGGUACCCUCGAGAACAAGACUCCGGCUAACUACGUGCCAGCAGCCGCGGUAAUGAGUAGUACGUA